AUGCUGAACUUGCAGUUUCCCAUCUUAAAUCAGCAUGGAAACACCCAAUCCUGUUUUCAUUUGCACAGUGAGGGUUUGAAGCUGGAAUGGAAAGUGCCAGGCUCCUUUGUGGACUGGAGACAAACCCUAACACUGCCCUUCUUCAAAGGAGGAAGAAAUGUGCAUUGUCUUGUCAUGUCUGAUAUUUCUCUGGAGAGCAUAGAUGUCCCCUUACAAGCCCUGUUGGAGUUCCAAAUUGUUCUCAGUCUCCUCCUGGUUGAAAGUCACCAACUGAAGCAGACUGAGGCCAGAGGAGAAGAGCAAAGUGGAUUAGUUGGGGUUUUUUUCCUUCAGAAAUCUGGCAUCCUAUCUUUGCUUUCACACUUCUUGAUAUUCACCAUCACCAGUGGAAAAUAAAAGGAAGUUUAAAAUUCAGAGCUUGGACUGCCUAUGGAUUCUAACACUGACUAGGCAUUUAAAAUCCUUCAUCUCUUUUUAAGUGAUGUUGGCAACCUAAUUUUGACUCCAUAUUUCCAUGAUGCUGAAGGAAAAAGAGAAAAAGAAUAAUUACAAAAAAGAAAAUAAGCAGAAAUUGUUUCAGUGAGGUGUUUUGAUCACCCCCAUGAGCUGUUUUCUUGCUGUGUUGUGCGUGACUGAAAAUCAGAAAGUGAAUCUGCUUAUUUCCAAAUGGAAGCUGACCAGACUCGUUUCAUCAGACUGCAGCAAAAAUAGCAAACAAGGGAAAAAUAAACGUAGGUGAUUAGAAUUAUUUCCA
rnacentral:lncRNA from 1 species